rnacentral:rRNA from 1 species
CAGCAGCCGCGGUAAUACGGAGGGUGCAAGCGUUAUCCGGAUUUAUUGGGUUUAAAGGGUCCGUAGGCGGACUUAUAAGUCAGUGGUGAAAGCCUGUCGCUUAACGAUAGAACUGCCAUUGAUACUGUAAGUCUUGAGUAUAUUUGAGGUAGCUGGAAUAAGUAGUGUAGCGGUGAAAUGCAUAGAUAUUACUUAGAACACCAAUUGCGAAGGCAGGUUACCAAGAUAUAACUGACGCUGAGGGACGAAAGCGUGGGUAGCGAACAGGAUUAGAUACCCCCGUAGUCCCUGUCUCUUAUAC